GACGAACGCUGGCGGCGUGCUUAACACAUGCAAGUCGAACGGAGUGGCGAACGGGUGAGUAACACGUGGGUGAUCUGCCUUGCACUUCGGGAUAAGCUUGGGAAACUGGUUCUAAUACCGGCUAGGUCAAGAUGGGCUCGCGGCCUAUCAGCUUGUUGGUGGGGUAAUGGCCUACCAAGGCGUCGACGGGUAGCCGGCCUGUGAGGGUGUACGGCCACAGUGGGACUGCGAUACGGCCCAGACUCCUACGGGAGGCAGCAGUGGGGAAGAUUGCACAAUGGGCGGAAGCCUGAUGCAGCGACGCCGGGUGGGGGAUGAAGGCCUUCGGGUUGUAAACUCCUUUCGACAGGGACGCGGUACCUGCAUAAGAAGCACCGGCUAACUACGUGCCAGCAGCCGCGGUAAUAC
rnacentral:rRNA from 1 species